AACCUCCAGAAUCCUUACUCCUCAUAUCUAAAUAUUGGUCUAAGGGACUGCAAAAGGCAAAAAAGUAAACUUGAAGUGGACCUGGAAUUUUUAGUGACAAACACGCUCAUUUAAAAAAAAA
rnacentral:snoRNA from 1 species